CCCUUAGAUGUUCUGGGCCGCACGCGUGCUACACUGAUGCAUUCAACGAGUCUAAAGCCUGCUCUGAUAGGGGUGGGUAAUCUUUUGAAUGUGCAUCGUGAUUGGGAUAGAUGAUUGCAAUUUUUCAUCUUCAACGAGGAAUGCCUAGUAAACGCAAGUCAUCAGCUUGCAUUGAUUACGUCCCUGCCCUUUGUACACACCGCCCGUCGCUCCUACCGAUUGAAUGAUCCGAUGAAUAUCAUGGAUUGAGGAUGCAAGUAGGUUCGCCUAUCUUCAUCUUCGAGAAGUGAAGUAAAUCUUAUCAUUUAGAGGAAGGAGAAGUCGUAACA
rnacentral:rRNA from 1 species